CGAAAAUGGUUGAAUUGGUUCCAA
rnacentral:siRNA from 1 species